rnacentral:rRNA from 1 species
AGUGAACGCUGGCGGUAGGCUUAACACAUGCAAGUCGAACGGCAGCACAGUAAGAGCUUGCUCUUACGGGUGGCGAGUGGCGGACGGGUGAGGAAUACAUCGGAAUCUACUUUUUUGUGGGGGAUAACGUAGGGAAACUUACGCUAAUACCGCAUACGACCUACGGGUGAAAGCAGGGGAUCUUCGGACCUUGCGCGAUUGAAUGAGCCGAUGUCGGAUUAGCUAGUUGGCGGGGUAAAGGCCCACCAAGGCGACGAUCCGUAGCUGGUCUGAGAGGAUGAUCAGCCACACUGGAACUGAGACACGGUCCAGACUCCUACGGGAGGGAGCAGUGGGGAAUAUUGGACAAUGGGCGCAAGCCUGAUCCAGCCAUACCGCGUGGGUGAAGAAGGCCUUCGGGUUGUAAAGCCCUUUUGUUGGGAAAGAAAAGCAGCAGGUUAAUACCCCGCUGUUCUGACGGUACCCAAAGAAUAAGCACCGGCUAACUUCGUG